CACCAGACCGCAUCGCUGGCCCCCCAAAUCCCAAUCCACCCAUGCCCUACACCAUUGCGCCGCCGCCCCCAACAAUCUAACCUUCCACCGGCGGCCGCCCUCUAGCCAUCGCCAUCGCCAUCCCCAAAUCACUCAAUCUACUAGUUCCCGGCACCAGAUCGCCGCUGCCCCCAACCGUUUGACCGCAGCCCCUCCGCCGCCCCAACCGGCCCCAGUGCCGCCGUCGCCCCCCCACCACCGCAGCCCGUCCGCCGCCCCAACCAAUGCACUGCUGCGUCCUCCACCCAGACCACUGACGCUGUCGUCGCCCACCAUCGCAGCUCCUCUGCCGCCCCUAGCAUCCACUGUCGCUUCCUCCACCCAGACCACUGCCGCUGUCGCCCCCCAACCACUCCAGAGCGGCGCUGCCGAGCACCAAUUGACACGGAGCAUCCCAUCGCCGAGCCAAUCCACCGACGACCUUCCUCCUCCGCUGUACACCGUCGUUCCUCAGUUACCGCCCUCCUCGCGAGCUUCCUCCCCCAAGCUAGCCCUCCGCACAUGCUCACCCGAGCCCCAAGGAGCUCCUCCGGCAAGCUGCACCUUCUCCACAGUUUAUGCCUUCACUAGAUUGUGACUUCUUGAAGCAAACACAAGAAGUUUCUGUUGCUAAUUUUUGCUUGUAUUGAUCUGUUGGGAGCCUUUAUGUACUUUAUACAGAUGCAGUUUAUCUUGCUACAAUUUUUCUUGUAUUCAUCUGUUGGGAGUCUUUAUGUACUUUAUACUGAUUCACAUGUAAUAAGCAGCUUGUAGUAUUAGUGAAGGAACAACACCAGGAGACAACCCACUGACCAAGGAGCGCCCUUAUAUCAUCAGUAUCUACCGAAACAAUAGUGACCAUCGUAGUAGAUUAUAUAUGGCCGUGUCAACUGCAGUCUGGUAGUAGAUUUGAAGUUUGGUCAUCGUUCAUAUUGAUGUGAGUACAUCAUGACCACCCCCUAGAGUGAACCAAAAUGAUGAGUCAUAACUGCUUCUUGUGCAAGCUUACUUUGUUCAUUUUCAAUGUAAUAUAUGGUAUUUAGAUUUUUUUCCCUAUUAAUAGAAGUAAACUUUCUUUUGUAUGUUACGCGAUGUAUUGCAUGGCCUUACAAGCAUGUAAGCUUAGGUCCUAUGAUUAAAUAUACAAUGACUAUCAUGGUUGAUUGCUUAAAACUCUUGCUUCUAUGUAUGCAGUUGGAAGUGAGUUAAUGGCAAAUGCGGCAAUGCGUUGCGACCACAAGCAAGCUGAGGAGGUAAUAUACAUGUUUCUUGGCUGAAUAUUUACAUUAGUGUGUACUAUCAAGGGCAGAUAGUAAUGGUUCGCUCAUUUGGUUGCUACAUGGUUAACUUCUGUCCAGAAAACUUGAGCUCCUGAUUCCAGUAUAUAGUAUUAAUUAGUAAUUCAAACAGAUCAUUAUAGUUCUUUAGAAGUGUGCUUUUGUGUCCAUCAGCCAUGAAUUUGGAGAGAGGUCAGUUGAAUAAAUAUGGUUACAAAUAUAAACUUUAAUUGGAUCAUCUUUCUUUCAUGUACACGAUAGACUCUACCAUGUAGAGAAAUGACUUUCAUUGGAUUCCAUGCUCACAACUUUCAUUUGAUUCAUUUCUCAUAACUGGAUCCUCUUUCUUUCAUGUACAUGAAGUAUUUUAGCUUGUUUGUUUGUUUGUUUGUCAAAAGCCUUGGUUUAUUUUUCUAGGCUAAUUCAACUUGUUGUCCAAGAUGUAGGAAAGUGAACCAAAUGUUCAUAGUGUUUCACUGGAUUUGUAAAUCUGUGGGCUUGUCCACUACUCAGAUACUCCCUCCGUCCCAAAAUAAGUCUCAUAAUUUUUGUACAACUUUGCACUAAAGUUACAAAGUUGAUACACUUAUUUUGGGACGGAGCGAGUACCAUUUUAGGGGACCUUCAUUUGUAACUUGUCCAACAAAAGCAUGGAACCAGGAAACUAAACAGCUCCCAUUAAAAGAUCCUGAAAUAUAUGUCCAGCUAGUUCCCCUCUUAUUCUGUGUAGCCAGCAAAUCAUUUAUGUAACUGAACUUUAAUAGCUCCUGCAAAGAGGGAGCAAAAAUUAAAAGGCUUGUUUAUGCAAUGGGACCAACAUUGAGUCAUCUUUACAAUAAGAGGCAAUGCUUCAGUGAAAAUCACAGUACUCCCAAUACAUCCCUUCACCAGAUUCCGCAACAGGAGAAAUGUAGUUCAACUUCGUGUUCUGGAUGCAGGAAGUCUGUAAGCACAGUUGUCAUCAUUGCUCUAAGGAAAUACCACGCAAAACCACAAAAUGGUAUCGUCAUUUAUAGAUUUCCAGAUUCAUUAUCCUAUUAUGUUGUGCCAACAUCAUAUAGGAACUCAAAAUAAAUCAGCUUAUAUCCAAGGUCAGGCUCAAUAUCAAGGCCCACUAGAGACUGGACUAGCACACUGAAUCCACAGGUUCCGAUACUAAUGUGUAAUUGUAUUACUUUGAAGAAGCCAAGGUAUACGACAUACGAAAUUUUAAGAAGCACAACUAAACACCUGUUGCGUUCUGGUAGAGAAAAAGUACCAAGUGAAAAUAAGAUGCUAUAAUUUUGCAUAUGUGCUUGUUCAGUACACUAGCUUCAAAAUUUGCUUGUGUAAUGUUAAGUGUGUGAUCGUGGCCUUGUGCUUGUGUAAUAUUCAUACAGACUUUGCACACUAUAUUUGGAUGAGAAGUUAGAUAAGCUUGCUACUGUCAAGAUGAUAAAAAAUGGACAUGUUGAUGUCCAGGAUAUGUUGUCUACUAAAGUAGAGAUUACUCUAGAGAUCUCUACUAUUAAAGGAGAAUCGAACGUCGUGAUGGUUCGACCUCCUUCGCUCGCCCCCACCUCGUUCGAUCCCGUACGUGAAAACUUCUCCCCACACGCGAAAAAAACGGACCCCCUCGGCUCCUCCCCACCCGUCGCAUGAAAAAAAAUGACAACAAAAUAAAACAACGCACGUACGCACGUCCCACCCCCACUUCCCUUCCCCCAAAUCCCUUGCUUUCGAGAGAGGAAUUGCCGCCGCCGACCUCCUCAGUCCUCACGGCGACCUCGAGCGGUUGCACACUGCAACCAAAUUAGACUGGAGCAGUGGAUCCAAGCCCUUUCCAUCUCAUCCAUUCUUCACCGAGUCCAGGAGGAGCUCGAUGCAGGGAGGGAGACGAGCAGGAGCGCCGCGUCCAUGGCAACGAUGAACAGGGCAUAGGUAACGCUAUCUUCCUACCCUCACUCCAACCCAUCUUCUCCCCGUAGCCUGUACUGGGGUACACCCACGUUCUCCUCUCCCAUGGCAGGGGCCGACGAGUGGCAACGCGCGGCGGGAGACCGGCUGGUGGGAACGGAUGGCGGGAGGCGGUGGGACCGUGGGAGGAGCAGGUAGUCGGAGGAGAUCGCCGGUGGAAAUCUGGCAAGCGGCGGCGGCAAACAGGGCUUAUGGUUUGAUGUUUGUUUUUUACUAGGUUGUACUGGUCUUUAGAUUGUCAAAACACCGUUUCACCCCUCUUUUAGUCUGGCUUUAAUUCAUUGGUGUGGGUCCUUUGUGUCCUUUGCAGAAUCGUAAUGGCAAUUUGUGCUUUUCUUCGGCACGCUGCUCCACCACCUGUGGAUGUGGGUCGUCCAGGCCUCGCCUCACCUACAAUAUGCUACAUUGGUGUGGGUCCUUGUGAGCCUGCUGCCCCCACCCCCCCAUCCCUUUGUAAUCCGAGAUGUCACCCCACCAUUCCUGUUCCGCCAAUGACAACAUCUCCCCUGACCGCUUGUCGUGCCUUGCCUCCAAAUCGGAUCACUGCAGUCUGAAGUAUUUUGAUGUAGCCAUAUCUCAACCACAUGAUGGCACACUAUAUAAGACCUCUAACCCGACGUGGAAGGACGAACUUCGACCAUGGAGCAGAGCACAGCGACGUGUCAAGGAUUGAUGGUCAAUGAUAAAGAGCAGGGGCCCUCAGAUGCUAGCCCUCCUCCUGCUGCUAUCCUCCCCAUCCCCUACGAGAUGUAUAUGGUGCUGACUUUGAGAGGCUGAAUAAUUAGGUUGAUAUUGAGGGAUUAAUAAAGGAUCAGCGGGCCAAGAUGUUUUGAGAUCAAACGGUGAAGUAAUAUUGUGUACUUGUGCUAAGUACUUUUGGUUUUGCCCGCUGAAGGAUUCAUAUGGUUACAAGUUGUACCUCUGACAGUGCUAAAUCAUAUAUAUUUCUUUCAGGUACAUUACUCGUACAUUUUUCCUCUAAUGGUCUGACACAAUUUUAUCCUCGUUCAAAUUAACUAGGUUCUAGGGACAGUCCUCCAGAGCAAAAGCAUUCAUUUUCAAGGACAUCAUAAGAUGCUAAAAAGUCCAAUUCAAGUAAUUUCUUCAUAAAACAGGGCUACAAGUAACAACUAGAGAAGAAGGGGGCCAAAAAUCCAAAAAGGCAUUGGGCUUGCAGCCACUCCGCCGACAUGACAGUCUUAGUACGCGGCACCGUGUAAACAUCCAUUGUGGCGGCGACCACUGACAUUGACAACAACGUGGCUUUUCAGCGAGCGGCGACCCUGACGGUGGCAGCACCCAUCACAUAAGGCAACGCUCCGCACCAGAUCUCUGUUGUGCACACCCAUCCGACCACACCCGACGGUGUUCCCUGAGCCAUGGUGUGUGCCUUCUCCUCCCCUAGAUCAUCUCACCAAUUACUUGCACACCAUCGCCGCAUGAUCCACUAGAGGAAUGUAUAGCAUAGAUUAUCUAUAAAAGAUACUGCUUACUUCUGAUGCUCCAUCAUCGUGUCAGGCUUCAUUUGAUCCUAAAGGACUCCUUUGAUUGGACAUGUAAUUAUACAUUUCGAGAGCUGACGUAAUAUAACAAAUUAGGCUGGGUCUGAAAUGUGCAGCCAUGUUGGCCUCGCCAAUGAGUGAAUGUUGGAAGAUGCAACAUUAGGAAAUGCCGAGUAUAUAUGGCAACAUCCAUGGUUCUGUAUCCUAUCUCAUAUAAGGCCUAAUUAAGUCAUUUAGCGCCGAUGUGAUUAGUGAUGUUCCACUGACCUUGAGGUGUGUUAUCACAUACCAAGCAAUUAAUCUACUACCUAAAGUCAUUUUCAUUGCCUCGAUAUCAUUCCCUAUGUCUUUCUUGAAUUCUUUGCUCAAGACAAUUUCCCUGAGAUUAGUUUCCUUUUUGUUCACUUCAGUUUUUAUUUGUUCUAUAGUUCACACCUGGUCCCUUUAGUGUAACUUAUCGAAUAACAAAGUUUUGUCUUUUAUUCACUGGAUGUGGUUCCUAUAGUCAGGGAAAAACAUCUACCUAUAUUGCUGACAUAGUUGCAAGAUUUAUACGUAUUGAGCAAGAACUCAUUAGAUCGAGAUAUGUCCAACAAGGAGAUCUCUCUUGCCUCUUAUGAAGUGUGGCAGAUUUAGAAAGGAAGUGUGGAGAUUUCUUUUAGGCCAAAGAGAGAUGGGUUUGGAAGAGUUAGUUUCUAAAGUUAUUUAGAAUGUUAACCUCCUGUUGGAGGCAUUUGGUACUUAGCCUUUGCUGCUGUACAGCCAAGCUAACUUAUUGACAUCCUCAAAAUUUCCUUUCUACUUUUUAAAUCUUGUUAUGUUGCCUCUUGGGUAGGCUUCAACCUGGUUCCUGUAGAAAAAAAUAAGAUUGCAAAAGUAUAUUAUUAGCAUGUAUCAAUUGUAGUGCAUAACACAUCAAAUUGUACGCAAUGAUGUCCCUUUGUAUGGAAGAACAAGUGAACACAUAAUGUAUUUUUUGUGUCUA